AAAAGGUGCUUUUCUGCAGUCUUGUAAAUCUUGAUGUAAGUAUUUUAUAUUUUUCACACAGAAUCAUUUUAGAAUCAGAAAUAAUUUUAUAGUUCACCAAGGACAUAUAUUUUGGCUACUGCUGAAUGAGAAUAACUUAAAUUUCUGAAUGGAAUGUUGAUUUUUGUGUGUUGUUUAUGCCAGACAAUACAUGGAACAUCAUAUAAGGAGGUUAUGUCUGCCUCAAUCAUCUGGCUGUGACACUUCUAGUGAAAUAACCUAAAUUAAAUGUUGCACUGAGAAAUGACAUUAAAACAUAAGGCAAAAAUGAUAUUCUUGAGCCACUUUGGUAAGGCUGAUAUAUACAUUCAUGAAAUAUAAUGAGCUAAAUGCUAUAUGUGCUACAUAUUUGUCAUAGUUUCAACCGUAUCAGAGAAAUUUUAUCAUAUUUACCUAGGUACAUAUAUUGUAGUUGGUAAAUUUGAUUAUGUUGGUAGGUCAUGAAAACAAAAGAGAAACAAAAUAUUCUAGAGUUAUUUGCUGUUAUUUUUCGUAAUUUACUUUUGUGGAAAUUUAGUGGAACCAAGGCUGUCAUGAAUAAAUUAUAAACUUAUAAUCCGUAGGCAUCAUUAUCACACAAAUAUAUUUAGUAUUUAUUGUAAUAAUUGAAUGUCCUGAGCAGUAAGGACUUCAAAGGUGAAAUGGGGAAUCCUCCUGCAGGGUGAAGGCUCAGAUUAUAGUCUAUGCCCAUACUCGUAGCACUGUCCACACGCCCUACCAAGCGUUGAGCCCCACCUCGGAUUGGAGUCAGCAUGUUGACACCGUCAUCAGCAAUCAUCUUGAUGGAAGGUUGGUCUGUGACACCACUGCCAUCACAGCUUGUUGAGUCCGGAGGCAAGCGGAUCAGUAUCGUGUACACCUAGGGGGUAGAACUUCUAACCAGUAGAACGUCGUCCUGUUGGAAUGCAGACUAUGGAGCCGAUAGUUGACCUUGCAGGGCUGUAGCAGAGCCGGAUACCGGCUACCGCCUUGGCACCUCUUUAAAGACGGCGAUGAUAACCAUAGGUUGGCGGCGUAGCCGAGGACAAAGGGGUGCGAACUAUACCACACAAGUAAUACACAUUUGGGGUGCAUACCUCUAGAAACCUUAUAACAUUCGCCAUAUGAUUAAUAUAAUAGUCAGCCAGAACUUUUCGCUUGUUUACUAUCCAAUCUCUGUGCUUGAGGCGGAAGUGUGUGCAUUCUGUGAGCAGUUUAUAAUAUUCAAUUUUGCAUUAAAAGUAAAGCUAUCAAGAAUUACCUCAUAUCUUAAGUGAUUCUCAUUUCUUUAAACCUGGAACUUCGUGCCAUAUCACACCGGCACUUUUAUUAUUUCGGCUACAGCUGGGCGUGCGUUCGUGCGUGAGCGCGAAUAGAAUGGAAAUCAAGAACUUGUUUAUCAGCAUGUAAUACAGUGUAAUUUUAUGAUAUUUCUCCUUAAAAUUGAGAAAUAUUUUUUGUUGGUAGAACAAUUCCUCAAACACAACCUAAUUUUAAAGAUGAAUUUCAAUAAUACGAGGUGCGUCCACAAAGUAAGUUUCCCACUCGU